CAAGUCGAACGAGAAAGUGGAGCAAUCCAUGAGUACAGUGGCGUACGGGUGAGUAACACGUGAAUAAUCUACCUCUUAGUGGGGAAUAACUCUGGGAAACCGGAGCUAAUACCGCAUAAGCUCGAGAGAGGAAAGCAGCAAUGCGCUGAGAGAGGAGCCCGCGGCCGAUUAGCUAGUUGGCAGGGUAAAAGCCUACCAAGGCAAAGAUCGGUAGCCGGCCUGAGAGGGCACACGGCCACACUGGCACUGAAACACGGGCCAGACUCCUACGGGAGGCAGCAGUGGGGAAUCUUGCACAAUGGGGGAAACCCUGAUGCAGCGACGCCGCGUGAGCGAUGAAGCCCUUCGGGGUGUAAAGCUCUUUCGGCAGGGAAGAUGGUGACGGUACCUGCAGAAGCAGCUGCGGCUAACUACGUGCCAGCAGCCGCGGUAAUACGUAGGCAGCGAGCGUUGUUCGGAGUUACUGGGCGUAAAGGGUGUGUAGGCGGUUUGGUAAGUCUGGUGUGAAAUCUCCCGGCUCAACUGGGAGGGUGCGCCGGAAACUGCUGAACUAGAGUGCGGGAGAGGAAAGUGGAAUUCCUGGUGUAGCGGUGAAAUGCGUAGAUAUCAGGAGGAACACCGGUGGUGUAGACGGCUUUCUGGACCGUAACUGACGCUGAGACACGAAAGCGUGGGUAGCAAACAGGAUUAGAUACCCUGGUAGUCCACGCCCUAAACGAUGCAUAUUUGGUGUGGGCAGUUCAUUCUGUCCGUGCCGGAGCUAACGCGUUAAAUAUGCCGCCUGGGGAGUACAGUCGCAAGGCUGAAACUCAAAGGAAUUGACGGGGGCCCGCACAAGCGGUGGA
rnacentral:rRNA from 1 species